AUGAACGCUAGCUACAGGCUUAACACAUGCAAGUCGAGGGGCAUCAGGAAGAAAGCUUGCUUUCUUUGCUGGCGACCGGCGCACGGGUGAGUAACACGUAUCCAACCUGCCCUUUACUCGGGGAUAGCCUUUCGAAAGAAAGAUUAAUACCCGAUAGCAUAAUGAUUCCGCAUGGUUUCAUUAUUAAAGGAUUCCGGUAAAGGAUGGGGAUGCGUUCCAUUAGGUUGUUGGUGAGGUAACGGCCCACCAAGCCUUCGAUGGAUAGGGGUUCUGAGAGGAAGGUCCCCCACAUUGGAACUGAGACACGGUCCAAACUCCUACGGGAGGCAGCAGUGAGGAAUAUUGGUCAAUGGGCGCUAGCCUGAACCAGCCAAGUAGCGUGAAGGAUGAAGGCUCUAUGGGUCGUAAACUUCUUUUAUAUAAGAAUAAAGUGCAGUAUGUAUACUGUUUUGUAUGUAUUAUAUGAAUAAGGAUCGGCUAACUCCGUGCCAGCAGCCGCGGUAAUACGGAGGAUCCGAGCGUUAUCCGGAUUUAUUGGGUUUAAAGGGAGCGUAGGUGGACUGGUAAGUCAGUUGUGAAAGUUUGCGGCUCAACCGUAAAAUUGCAGUUGAUACUGUCAGUCUUGAGUACAGUAGAGGUGGGCGGAAUUCGUGGUGUAGCGGUGAAAUGCUUAGAUAUCACGAAGAACUCCGAUUGCGAAGGCAGCUCACUGGACUGCAACUGACACUGAUGCUCGAAAGUGUGGGUAUCAAACAGGAUUAGAUACCCUGGUAGUCCACACAGUAAACGAUGAAUACUCGCUGUUUGCGAUAUACAGUAAGCGGCCAAGCGAAAGCAUUAAGUAUUCCACCUGGGGAGUACGCCGGCAACGGUGAAACUCAAAGGAAUUGACGGGGGCCCGCACAAGCGGAGGAACAUGUGGUUUAAUUCGAUGAUACGCGAGGAACCUUACCCGGGCUUAAAUUGCAGUGGAAUGAUGUGGAAACAUGUCAGUGAGCAAUCACCGCUGUGAAGGUGCUGCAUGGUUGUCGUCAGCUCGUGCCGUGAGGUGUCGGCUUAAGUGCCAUAACGAGCGCAACCCUUAUCUUUAGUUACUAACAGGUCGUGCUGAGGACUCUAGAGAGACUGCCGUCGUAAGAUGUGAGGAAGGUGGGGAUGACGUCAAAUCAGCACGGCCCUUACGUCCGGGGCUACACACGUGUUACAAUGGGGGGUACAGAAGGCAGCUAGCGGGUGACCGUAUGCUAAUCCCAAAAGCCUCUCUCAGUUCGGAUCGAAGUCUGCAACCCGACUUCGUGAAGCUGGAUUCGCUAGUAAUCGCGCAUCAGCCACGGCGCGGUGAAUACGUUCCCGGGCCUUGUACACACCGCCCGUCAAGCCAUGGGAGCCGGGGGUACCUGAAGUACGUAACCGCAAGGAUCGUCCUAGGGUAAAACUGGUGACUGGGGCU
rnacentral:rRNA from 1 species